GGACAGAAGGGAGCUUGCUCCCGGAUGUUAGCGGCGGACGGGUGAGUAACACGUGGGUAACCUGCCUGUAAGACUGGGAUAACUCCGGGAAACCGGAGCUAAUACCGGAUAGUUCCUUGAACCGCAUGGUUCAAGGAUGAAAGACGGUUUCGGCUGUCACUUACAGAUGGACCCGCGGCGCAUUAGCUAGUUGGUGGGGUAAUGGCUCACCAAGGCGACGAUGCGUAGCCGACCUGAGAGGGUGAUCGGCCACACUGGGACUGAGACACGGCCCAGACUCCUACGGGAGGCAGCAGUAGGGAAUCUUCCGCAAUGGACGAAAGUCUGACGGAGCAACGCCGCGUGAGUGAUGAAGGUUUUCGGAUCGUAAAGCUCUGUUGUUAGGGAAGAACAAGUGCGAGAGUAACUGCUCGCACCUUGACGGUACCUAACCAGAAAGCCACGGCUAACUACGUGCCAGCAGCCGCGGUAAUACGUAGGUGGCAAGCGUUGUCCGGAAUUAUUGGGCGUAAAGGGCUCGCAGGCGGUUUCUUAAGUCUGAUGUGAAAGCCCCCGGCUCAACCGGGGAGGGUCAUUGGAAACUGGGAAACUUGAGUGCAGAAGAGGAGAGUGGAAUUCCACGUGUAGCGGUGAAAUGCGUAGAGAUGUGGAGGAACACCAGUGGCGAAGGCGACUCUCUGGUCUGUAACUGACGCUGAGGAGCGAAAGCGUGGGGAGCGAACAGGAUUAGAUACCCUGGUAGUCCACGCCGUAAACGAUGAGUGCUAAGUGUUAGGGGGUUUCCGCCCCUUAGUGCUGCAGCUAACGCAUUAAGCACUCCGCCUGGGGAGUACGGUCGCAAGACUGAAACUCAAAGGAAUUGACGGGGGCCCGCACAAGCGGUGGAGCAUGUGGUUUAAUUCGAAGCAACGCGAAGAACCUUACCAGGUCUUGACAUCCUCUGACAACCCUAGAGAUAGGGCUUUCCCUUCGGGGACAGAGUGACAGGUGGUGCAUGGUUGUCGUCAGCUCGUGUCGUGAGAUGUUGGGUUAAGUCCCGCAACGAGCGCAACCCUUGAUCUUAGUUGCCAGCAUUCAGUUGGGCACUCUAAGGUGACUGCCGGUGACAAACCGGAGGAAGGUGGGGAUGACGUCAAAUCAUCAUGCCCCUUAUGACCUGGGCUACACACGUGCUACAAUGGACAGAACAAAGGGCUGCAAGACCGCAAGGUUUAGCCAAUCCCAUAAAUCUGUUCUCAGUUCGGAUCGCAGUCUGCAACUCGACUGCGUGAAGCUGGAAUCGCUAGUAAUCGCGGAUCAGCAUGCCGCGGUGAAUACGUUCCC
rnacentral:rRNA from 1 species